GAGUUUGAUCAUGGCUCAGAACGAACGCUGGCGGCGGGCCUAACACAUGCAAGUCGCACGAGAACGGUGGGCUUCGGCCUACCUAGUAAAGUGGCGCACGGGUGAGUAACGCGUGGGUAAUCUGCCCCCGGGUUGGGGAUAACGUUCCGAAAGGGGCGCUAAUACCGAAUAAGACCACGGCCACUGCGGUGGCAGGGGUCAAAGCGGGCCUCUACAUGUAAGCUCGCGCCUGGGGAGGAGCUCGCGUCCCAUUAGCUUGUUGGUGAGGUAACGGCUCACCAAGGCGUACGAUGGGUAGCUGGUCUGAGAGGAUGAUCAGCCACACUGGGACUGAAACACGGCCCAGACUCCUACGGGAGGCAGCAGUGAGGAAUCUUGCGCAAUGGGGAAACCCUGACGCAGCCACGCCGCGU
rnacentral:rRNA from 1 species